rnacentral:rRNA from 1 species
UGAGGAAUAUUGGUCAAUGGACGAGAGUCUGAACCAGCCAAGUAGCGUGAAGGAUGACUGCCCUAUGGGUUGUAAACUUCUUUUAUACGGGAAUAAAGUGAGGUACGUGUGCCUUUUUGUAUGUACCGUAUGAAUAAGGAUCGGCUAACUCCGUGCCAGCAGCCGCGGUAAUACGGAGGAUCCGAGCGUUAUCCGGAUUUAUUGGGUUUAAAGGGAGCGUAGGCGGACGCUUAAGUCAGUUGUGAAAGUUUGCGGCUCAACCGUAAAAUUGCAGUUGAUACUGGGUGUCUUGAGUACAGUAGAGGCAGGCGGAAUUCGUGGUGUAGCGGUGAAAUGCUUAGAUAUCACGAAGAACUCCGAUUGCGAGGGCAGCCUGCUGGACUGUAACUGACGCUGAUGCUCGAAAGUGUGGGUAUCAAACAGGAUUAGAUACCCUGGUAGUUCACACAGUAAACGAUGAAUACUCGCUGUUUGCGAUAUACAGUAAGCGGCCAAGCGAAAGCGUUAAGUAUUCCACCUGGGGAGUACGCCGGCAACGGUGAAACUCAAAGGAAUUGACGGGGGCCCGCACAAGCGGAGGAACAUGUGGUUUAAUUCGAUGAUACGCGAGGAACCUUACCCGGGCUUGAAUUGCAACUGAAUGAUGUGGAGACAUGUCAGCCGCAAGGCAGUUGUGAAGGUGCUGCAUGGUUGUCGUCAGCUCGUGCCGUGAGGUGUCGGCUUAAGUGCCAUAACGAGCGCAACCCUUAUCGAUAGUUACCAUCAGGUUAUGCUGGGGACUCUGUCGAGACUGCCGUCGUAAGAUGUGAGGAAGGUGGGGAUGACGUCAAAUCAGCACGGCCCUUACGUCCGGGGCUACACACGUGUUACAAUGGGGGGUACAGAAGGCAGCUACACGGCGACGUGAUGCUAAUCCCGAAAGCCUCUCUCAGUUCGGAUUGGAGUCUGCAACCCGACUCCAUGAAGCUGGAUUCGCUAGUAAUCGCGCAUCAGCCACGGCGCGGUGAAUACGUUCCC